AGCAACCAUUAUAGUUAAAUCGUUAUUGCCCGUUGCAAUAAAUCCAGAAUUAGAAUCUGCCGCCAUGAAGAAGCUUCAAGUCCGCGUCUUUGCCCUCGGCAUCAUGGCUACGGUGUUGGGCCUUGGACUCGCCUCGGCUUCGUAUCCUGACAGCGUCAAUGUGGUUACAGGCCGCCCUGGUCCGCUGAGUUGUGGAGCAAAGACUUCCACUUCUGUCCGCUUCCGGUCCCUGAUGAUGCCGGGCAGCAAAUCGCUGGUG
rnacentral:lncRNA from 1 species